UGCUUCAUAGCUCAACGGUAGAGCACUAGGCGCAGCCGAAUGGUUACUGGUUCAAAUCCAGUUGAAGCAA
rnacentral:tRNA from 1 species